GGAGAGGCAGAUGCAGAAGAAGAGAGAGAAUCUCAAGCCGGCUCCAUGCCCAGUGCAGAGCCCGAUAUGGGGCUCAAUCUCACAACCCUGAAAUCACAACCUGAGCCAAGAUCAAGAGUCGGACACUUAACCAAACUUAGCUAUACUACACUGGAAAAUCAUAUACUGCAACAAGCUAUUCACCAUUCCCUGGACAUUCUGGGCUCUUCACUGCUUCUUUUGUGCCCUUGUGUAUACUGUUGCCUCCAUACAGGUGGCCUUCCUCCACCUCCACUAUGCAAAAGCCUACUAUCAUCCAAAACCCAGAUAUCGCCUGGCCUGGACUCAAGAGCAGCUUGAAACACAAAAGGACAUACAGAGAAGGAAGAGGGAUCAGGUGGCAAAAUACUGGGCUAAACUACCAAGGUCAAGUGGACACUGGACUGGUUGGGACUGAAAAAACUGGUCUAAAGCAAUGGAGACUGAGCUUGGCAAGCAGCACCAACUAUCACCA